rnacentral:lncRNA from 1 species
UAAGCCAGGGGAAUAUUUUACUGAUGUUGAGUAUCUCCCCUUCUCACUCAACUUAAAAUAGUUAUCUUUUCUACAGGCAGGUACCCACUUACUCCCAGACAUACUUUUUUCUUUUACUUCUUCAUUCAAGGAAAAGGGCCAAAUGAAUGGUUUUGGAGAGGAAUACUUACUUAAGAGCUGAAGUUAUCUAUCUACGGCCAAUGAAAUGUUACACUUGGUUCACUUCUGGGUGUACUCCAAAUGGUAUUAUAGAAGUGUGCAAGGCUGGAGGUGAACUCCCAGGCAGAGAUGAACUGCUCACCAGGAACGGAACAGGGUGGCGCUACAGGAAAACAAAAUUUCCAGGGGGUAAAAACAGAAUAGGGAGACACAAGUUGUGUCACAAACAUUCCAAUUAUACUUUUAGUUAUUUUUAAAUGUACAAUAAAUUACUGUUGACUGUAGUCACCCUGUUGUGCUAUCACAUUCUUAUUUAUUCUAUCUAACUAUAUUUUUGUACCCAUUAACCAUCCCCAAUGUCUUCCACUUCCUACUGCCCCUCCCAGCCCAUGGUAAUCAUCAUUGUGUUCUCUAUCUCCAUGAAUUCAAUUGUUUUAAUUUUUAGUUCCCACAAAUGAGUGAGAAUAUGUAAAAUUUGUCUUCUGUGAAUGGCUACUUUUUAUUGAGCACUUGACUACUGAGAACCGCACUGUCUUUUUAUCAUACACAAAUGAUGGAUGAGGAAACUGAGCCUUAGAGAGGCAGGUGACUUGCCCAAAGUAAAUGGCAGAGAA